GUCAGACCCACCAUGACUUUGACUGGUUAAAGUUAUAGAUAAAAGAUACAUGACUGAUGAUGUAAGCUGGGGACUUAGCUUAGUUGGUAGAGCGCCUGCUUUGCACGCAGGAGGUCAGGAGUUCGACUCUCCUAGUCUCCACCAGAACUUAAGAUAAGUUCGGAUUACAGAAAUUAGUAAAUAGAGAUUUCGAUCUUGGUUUAUUAACUUCUGUGAUUUAAGUAUCACGGUAUUAAGCAUGACCUGACGAAGGCAUGUUUAUUCAUUAACAGAUUGGCAAAAUUGAGUCUGAAAUAAAUUGUUCACUCAAUAACAAAGAGAGAUGAAGUAAUUCUGAUCUUGGAGUUAAUUGAGAACUAGCAAAUUAACUGAAUCAAGCGUUUUGGUAUAUGAAUUUAGAUUGAAGCUGUACAGUGUUUAAAUACACAGUGCUCUAAACUAAAAUGUUGAAGUUACUAACUUGUAGGUAACGUCGACUGUUUGGGGUUGUAUAGUCAAGUAAUUAAGUGCAUGUGGUGGAUGCCUUGGCAGUCAGAGGCGAUGAAAGACGUGAUAGCCUGCGAAAAGCUCCGGGGAGGCGGCAAAUAUCCUUUGAUCCGGAGAUGUCUGAAUGGGGAAACCCACCUACUUUAAGGUAGGUAUUGCAACAUGAAUACAUAGUGUUGCAAGGCGAACGAGGGGAACUGAAACAUCUAAGUACC
rnacentral:misc_RNA from 1 species